rnacentral:rRNA from 1 species
GAGACACGGCCCAGACUCCUACGGGAGGCAGCAGUGGGGAAUAUUGCACAAUGGGCGAAAGCCUGAUGCAGCGACGCCGCGUGAGGGAUGACGGCCUUCGGGUUGUAAACCUCUUUCAGCAGGGAAGAAGCGAGAGUGACGGUACCUGCAGAAGAAGCGCCGGCUAACUACGUGCCAGCAGCCGCGGUAAUACGUAGGGCGCGAGCGUUGUCCGGAAUUAUUGAGCGUAAAGAGCUCGUAGGCGGCUUGUCACGUCGGAUGUGAAAGCCCGGGGCUUAACCCCGGGUCUGCAUUCGAUACGGGCAGGCUAGAGUUCGGUAGGGGAGAUCGGAAUUCCUGGUGUAGCGGUGAAAUGCGCAGAUAUCAGGAGGAACACCGGUGGCGAAGGCGGAUCUCUGGGCCGAUACUGACGCUGAGGAGCGAAAGCGUGGGGAGCGAACAGGAUUAGAUACCCUGGUAGUCCACGCCGUAAACGUUGGGAACUAGGUGUGGGCGACAUUCCACGUCGUCCGUGCCGCAGCUAACGCAUUAAGUUCCCCGCCUGGGGAGUACGGCCGCAAGGCUAAAACUCAAAGGAAUUGACGGGGGCCCGCACAAGCAGCGGAGCAUGUGGCUUAAUUCGACGCAACGCGAAGAACCUUACCAAGGCUUGACAUACACCGGAAAACCGUGGAGACACGGUCCCCCUUGUGGUCGGUGUACAGGUGGUGCAUGGCUGUCGUCAGCUCGUGUCGUGAGAUGUUGGGUUAAGUCCCGCAACGAGCGCAACCCUUGUUCUGUGUUGCCAGCAUGCCUUUCGGGGUGAUGGGGACUCACAGGAGACUGCCGGGGUCAACUCGGAGGAAGGUGGGGACGACGUCAAGUCAUCAUGCCCCUUAUGUCUUGGGCUGCACACGUGCUACAAUGGCCGGUACAAUGAGCUGCGAUACCGCGAGGUGGAGCGAAUCUCAAAAAGCCGGUCUCAGUUCGGAUUGGGGUCUGCAACUCGACCCCAUGAAGUCGGAGUUGCUAGUAAUCGCAGAUCAGCAUUGCUGCGGUGAAUACGUUCCCGGGCCUUGUACACACCGCCCGUCACGUCACGAAAGUCGGUAACACCCGAAGCCGGUGGCCCAACCCCUUG